ACGGGAGGCAGCAGUGGGGGAUAUUGCACAAUGGGGGAAACCCUGAUGCAGCGACGCCGCGUGAGUGAAGAAGUAUUUCGGUAUGUAAAGCUCUAUCAGCAGGAAAGAAAAUGACGGUACCUGACUAAGAAGCCCCGGCUAACUACGUGCCAGCAGCCGCGGUAAUACGUAGGGGGCAAGCGUUAUCCGGAUUUACUGGGUGUAAAGGGAGCGUAGACGGCGAUGCAAGUCUGAAGUGAAAACCCAAGGCUCAACCAUGGGACUGCUUUGGAAACUGUAUUGCUAGAGUGCAGGAGAGGUAAGUGGAAUUCCUAGUGUAGCGGUGAAAUGCGUAGAUAUUAGGAGGAACACCAGUGGCGAAGGCGGCUUACUGGACGAUAACUGACGCUGAGGCUCGAAAGCGUGGGGAGCAAACAGGAUUAGAUACCCUGGUA
rnacentral:rRNA from 1 species